rnacentral:rRNA from 1 species
AAUCAACGCUGGCGGCGUGCCUAACACAUGCAAGUCGAACGCGAAAGUCCCGCAAGGGAUAAGUAGAGUGGCAAAACGGGUGAGUAACGCGUGGGUGACCUACCUUCGAGUGGGGGAGUAACGUCUCGAAAGGGACGCUAAUACCGCUUAAUACCCUGCCUUUGGACAGGUGGUGAUCAAAGCCGGGGCGUCCGCAAGGACCUGGCGCUUGAAGAGGGGCCCGCGUCCGAUUAGCUAGUUGGUGAGGUAAUGGCUCACCAAGGCAACGAUCGGUAGCCGGCCUGAGAGGGCGGACGGCCACACUGGGACUGAGACACGGCCCAGACUCCUACGGGAGGCAGCAGUGGGGAAGUCUUGCGCAAUGGGCGAAAGCCUGACGCAGCGACGCCGCGUG